rnacentral:rRNA from 1 species
AUUGAACGCUGGCGGCAGGCCUAACACAUGCAAGUCGAGCGGAUGAAGAGAGCUUGCUCUCUGAUUCAGCAGCGGACGGGUGAGUAAUGCCUAGGAAUCUGCCUGGUAGUGGGGGACAACGUUUCGAAAGGAACGCUAAUACCGCAUACGUCCUACGGGAGAAAGCAGGGGACCUUCGGGCCUUGCGCUAUCAGAUGAGCCUAGGUCGGAUUAGCUAGUUGGUGAGGUAAUGGCUCACCAAGGCGACGAUCCGUAACUGGUCUGAGAGGAUGAUCAGUCACACUGGAACUGAGACACGGUCCAGACUCCUACGGGAGGCAGCAGUGGGGAAUAUUGGACAAUGGGCGAAAGCCUGAUCCAGCCAUGCCGCGUGUGUGAAGAAGGUCUUCGGAUUGUAAAGCACUUUAAGUUGGGAGGAAGGGCAGUAACUUAAUACGUUGCUGUUUUGACGUUACCGACAGAAUAAGCACCGGCUAACUCUGUG